CACGUAGGGCGCAAGCGUUGUCCGGAAUUAUUGGGCGUAAAGAGCUCGUAGGCGGUCUGUCGCGUCGGCUGUGAAAUCCCGAGGCUCAACCUCGGGUCUGCAGUCGAUACGGGCAAACUAGAGUAUUGCAGGGGAGACUGGAAUUCCUGGUGUAGCGGUGAAAUGCGCAGAUAUCAGGAGGAACACCGGUGGCGAAGGCGGGUCUCUGGGCAAUAACUGACGCUGGAGGAGCGAAAGCGUGGGGAGCGAACAGG
rnacentral:rRNA from 1 species